AUUGAACGCUGGCGGCGUGCUUAACACAUGCAAGUCGAUCGGUAACAGGUGUAGCAAUACAUGCUGACGAGAGGCGGACGGGUGAGUAAUGCUUGGGAAUCUGCCUAUUAGUGGGGGACAACCCGGGGAAACUCGGGCUAAUACCGCAUACGCUCUACGGAGGAAAGCCGGGGACCGCAAGGCCUGGCGCUAAUAGAUGAGCCCAAGUCGGAUUAGCUAGUUGGUAGGGUAACGGCCUACCAAGGCGACAAUCCGUAGCUGGUCUGAGAGGACGACCAGCCACACCGGAACUGAGACACGGUCCGGACUCCUACGGGAGGCAGCAGUGGGGAAUAUUGGACAAUGGGGGCAACCCUGAUCCAGCGACGCCGCGUGGGUGAAGAAGGCCUGCGGGUUGUAAAGCCCUUUCGGUGGGGAAGAAAGUCUCGACCUAAUACGUCGGGACCUUGACGUAACCCACUAAAGAAGCACCGGCUAACUCUGUGCCAGCCGCCGCUGUAAU
rnacentral:rRNA from 1 species